AUUGCAGGCUGCAACUCGCCUGCAUGAAGUCGGAAUUGCUAGUAAUCGUAGGUCAGCAUACUACGGUGAAUACGUUCCCGGGCCUUGUACACACCGCCCGUCAAACCAUGAGAGUUGGCAACACCCGAAGUCGGUAGUCUAACCGCAAGGAGGACGCUGCCGAAGGUAGGAUUGGCGACUGGGGUGAAGUCGUAACAAGGUAUC
rnacentral:rRNA from 1 species